UGAGUAGGCUAGGAUUAGAAGAUUGUUUUGAAGGGAUUUUAUGUUUUGAGACUCUGAAUCCAAUUCACAAGAGCACUCCAUCAGAUGACGAAGACGAUAUUGAAUUUUUGGGAUCAGCUACAUGCUCAAACACUGCUACUAAUGGCACUGAGAUCUUUGACAUUAUUGCUCAUUUUGCUCAACCUAAACGAGUUUUUGGGAUCAGCCACAUCUUCAAACACUGCUGCAAAUAAUGGCAGCACUGAGAUCUUUGACAUUAUUGCUCAUUUUGCUCAACCUAAACCUGGAUCACUAUUGCCAAAAACACCAAUCGUUUGCAAACCUUCAGAAAUCGCCAUUGAACGUGCUUUAAAGAUUGCCAACAUUAAUCCACACAGAACUGUAUGAUUAAUAGUUCAAUUUCUUGAAUCCUAUUUUAAAAGAUUAUUGUUAUUUCAAUGUACUGAUUUGGAAUGUUUCCAUUUUUUC
rnacentral:lncRNA from 1 species